GAUGAACGCUAGCGACAGGCCUAACACAUGCAAGUCGAGGGGCAGCACAUGAGUAGCAAUACGAUGGUGGCGACCGGCGCACGGGUGAGUAACACGUAUGCAACCUGCCUUCUACUAUGGGAUAACCCGUUGAAAGACGGACUAAUACCCCAUGGACCCUUAGCCCCGCAUGGGGCGGAGGGUAAAGCUCCGGCGGGAAUGGAUGGGCAUGCGUGCCAUUAGCUGGUUGGUGGGGUAACGGCCCACCAAGGCUACGAUGGCUAGGGGGUCUGGGAGGAUGAUCCCCC
rnacentral:rRNA from 1 species